rnacentral:rRNA from 1 species
UACGUAGGGCGCAAGCGUUGUCCGGAAUUAUUGGGCGUAAAGAGCUCGUAGGUGGCUUGUCACGUCGGGUGUGAAAGCUUGGGGCUUAACUCCAGGUCUGCAUUCGAUACGGGCUGGCUAGAGGUAGGUAGGGGAGAAUGGAAUUCCUGGUGUAGCGGUGAAAUGCGCAGAUAUCGGGAAGAACACCUAUGGCGAAGGCAGCUCUCUGGGACGGUACUGACGCUGAGACGCGAAAGCGUGGGGAGCGAACAGG